AAGAACAAAUCUUCUUAUUCUUCAUUUUUCUCUUCUUUCUUUUUCUCCAUCUUCUUCUUCUUCUUCUUCUUCUUGUUCUUUUUCUUCUUCUUCUUCUUCUUCCACUUCUUCUUCUAAUUGCUUAGCUUAAAUUAGAUAACUUCUUUCUUAUUGUAUUCUUCUUCUAACUUCUUUCUCAUUAUGCAGAUUUUGAUAAAGCAGCAUGGCAUAUGGAUGGAUGCUCCAGGGACUAU
rnacentral:lncRNA from 1 species